rnacentral:rRNA from 1 species
CCUACGGGUGGCAGCAGUAGGGAAUUUUGCGCAAUGGGCGAAAGCCUGACGCAGCAACGCCGCGUGAUCGAGACGCCCUUCGGGGUGUAAAGAUCUGUCAGUGGGGACGAAACUUGACGGUAUCCCCAGAGGAAGCACCGGCUAACUCUGCGCCAGCAGCCGCGGUAAUACGGGGGGUGCAAGCGCUGUCCGGAUGCAUUGGGCGUAAAGAGUUCGUAGGCGGCGCGAAAAGUCUGGUGUUAAAGGUAGAGGCUCAACUUCUGUACGGCACUGGAUACUGGCGAGCUAGAGUGCGGUAGAGGUAAAGGGAAUUCCUGGUGUAGCGGUGAAAUGCUUAGAUAUCAGGAGGAACAUCGGUGGCGUAAGCGCUUUACUGGGCCGUAAUUGACGCUGAGGAGCGAAAGCCAGGGUAGCAAAUGGGAUUAGAUACCCGGGUAGUC